CCAGCAUCACUGCCUUGACCCGUAGGAAAUGGCCUGUUCGGGUCCUUCAGGCCUAGAAUGUUUUCAUUGGAAAAUAACUCUUUGUUCAUGUUAGGAUGAGUUUUGAAAAGGAUGCCAGGGUUCCCACCAGUCUCAAUCUGAACUUGAAUGUGGGCAUCUUCUUGGUUAAGAAUUUGAAGGGACAUUGUUCCCUGAAGGUCAAAGUUACUAACUCCACCAUCUCGUUUCAGGGACACAUUGAGUUUCUCCUCGACAGAUAGAGUAACAGGAUCAGUUGGCGGUGGGACAGCUGAUUUCGAUUGACCAACACUUGGCUGUACAUCUUCAACUAUUACUUCA
rnacentral:misc_RNA from 1 species